rnacentral:rRNA from 1 species
AUCGUAACAAGGUCUCCGUAGGUGAACCUGCGGAGGGAUCAUUACACAAAUAUGAAGGCGGGCUGGAACCUCUCGGGGUUACAGCCUUGCUGAAUUAUUCACCCUUGUCUUUUGCGUACUUCUUGUUUCCUUGGUGGGUUCGCCCACCACUAGGACAAACAUAAACCUUUUGUAAUUGCAAUCAGCGUCAGUAACAAAUUAAUAAUUACAACUUUCAACAACGGAUCUCUUGGUUCUGGCAUCGAUGAAGAACGCAGCGAAAUGCGAUAAGUAGUGUGAAUUGCAGAAUUCAGUGAAUCAUCGAAUCUUUGAACGCACAUUGCGCCCUUUGGUAUUCCAAAGGGCAUGCCUGUUCGAGCGUCAUUUGUACCCUCAAGCUUUGCUUGGUGUUGGGCGUCUUGUCUCUAGCUUUGCUGGAGACUCGCCUUAAAGUAAUUGGCAGCCGGCCUACUGGUUUCGGAGCGCAGCACAAGUCGCACUCUCUAUCAGCAAAGGUCUAGCAUCCAUUAAGCCUUUUUUUCAACUUUUGACCUCGGAUCAGGUAGGGAUACCCGCUGAACUUAAGCAUA